rnacentral:rRNA from 1 species
AAUCAACGCUGGCGGCGUGCCUAACACAUGCAAGUCGAGCGCGAAAGCGGGGUAACUCGCAAGUAGAGCGGCGAACGGGUGAGUAACGCGUGGGUGAUCUGCCUUCGAGUGGGGAAUAACACCGGGAAACUGGUGCUAAUACCGCAUGACAUCUUCGGGUCACACCGGAGAUCAAAGCCGGGGACCGCAAGGCCUGGCGCUUGAAGAGGAGCCCGCGUCCGAUUAGCUAGUGGCGGGGUAAUGGCCCACCAAGGCUUCGAUCGGUAGCCGGCCUGAGAGGGCGGACGGCCACACUGGGACUGAGACACGGCCCAGACUCCUACGGGAGGCAGC